GCGUUCGCAAUUCAAAACCUCAGUAGCCUUACAUUCUGAAGAACCCAACUCAGAUUAACAGCCUCAACCGCGUAAGACGUUUAAAUAUGAUCACUGCGCAAGAUGUUUAAAUCUGAUCACUAUCUCCCUUGAUAAAAAUCUCACUAGGAUGACCCUGCCAGACAAGCCAAUUUGUUCACAAGAAUCCAAAUACAACAUGGCUGACUCGUCUUCCCAACUGUAUGCCAAAAUGACUCUAAACCAACGUGCACUUUG
rnacentral:lncRNA from 1 species